GAUUUCAUCUGAAAAAGUCAUCAAUAACAAAGUUGUAUAACUCAUCAAGAUUUAUAACUUCUAUUUUGAUUAUUUCUUCACCCGACAAAGUGAUUUGUAAGAUCGUUCAUAAAAUACACAUCUCUUAUAAAACGAUAUAAGAUAAGAGAUGUAUAAAAAAUAUACAUUUUAUGAAAAAUCUUACAAAUCACUUUGUUAGGUGAAGAAAUGACCAAAAUAGAAGUUAUAGAUCUUGAUGAGUUAUACAACUUUGUUAUUGAUGACUUUUUCAGAUGAAAUC
rnacentral:pre_miRNA from 1 species